rnacentral:rRNA from 1 species
CAGUAGCCGCGGUAAUACGUAGGGUGCAAGCGUUAAUCGGAAUUACUGGGCGUAAAGCGUGCGCAGGCGGUUCUAUAAGACAGAUGUGAAAUCCCCGGGCUCAACCUGGGAACUGCAUUUGUGACUGUAGAGCUGGAGUGCGGCAGAGGGGGAUGGAAUUCCGCGUGUAGCAGUGAAAUGCGUAGAUAUGCGGAGGAACACCGAUGGCGAAGGCAAUCCCCUGGGCCUGCACUGACGCUCAUGCACGAAAGCGUGGGGAGCAAACAGGAUUAGAUACCCCCGUAGUCCCUGUCUCUUAUAC